rnacentral:rRNA from 1 species
AACGAACGCUGGCGGCAUGCCUAACACAUGCAAGUCGAACGAGACCUUCGGGUCUAGUGGCGCACGGGUGCGUAACGCGUGGGAACCUGCCCUUAGGUUCGGAAUAACUCCCCGAAAGGGGUGCUAAUACCGGAUAAUGUCUUCGGACCAAAGAUUUAUCGCCUUUGGAUGGGCCCGCGUUGGAUUAGCUAGUUGGCAGGGUAAAAGCCUACCAAGGCGACGAUCCAUAGCUGGUCUGAGAGGAUGAUCAGCCACACUGGGACUGAGACACGGCCCAGAAUCCUACGGGAGGCAGCAGUGGGGAAUAUUGGACAAUGGGCGAAAGCCUGAUCCAGCAAUGCCGCGUGAGUGAUGAAGGCAUUAGGGUUGUAAAGCUCUUUUACCCGGGAUGAUAAUGACAGUACCGGGAGAAUAAGCUCCGGCUAACUCCGUG